CCUACGGGCGGCAGCAGUGAGGAAUAUUGGUCAAUGGACGCAAGUCUGAACCAGCCAAGUAGCGUGAAGGAUGACUGCCCUAUGGGUUGUAAACUUCUUUUAUAUGGGAAUAAAACGUUCCACGUGUGGGAUUUUGUAUGUACCAUAUGAAUAAGGAUCGGCUAACUCCGUGCCAGCAGCCGCGGUAAUACGGAGGAGCCGAGCGUUAUCCGGAUUUAUUGGGUUUAACGGGAGCGUAGGUGGAUUGUUAAGUCAGUUGUGAAAGUUUAGGGCUCAACCGUAAAAUUGCAGUUGAAACUGGCAGUCUUGAGUACAGUAGAGGUGGGCGGAAUUCGUGGUGUAGCGGUGAAAUGCUUAGAUAUCACGAAGAACUCCGAUGGCGAAGGCAGUUCACUGGACUGCAACUGACACUGAGGCUCGAAAGUGUGGGUAUCAAACAGGAUUAGAUACCCGGGUAGUC
rnacentral:rRNA from 1 species